CUACGGGAGGCAGCAGUGGGGAAUUUUGGACAAUGGGGGGAACCCUGAUCCAGCAACGCCGCGUGAAUGAAGAAGGCCUUAGGGUUGUAAAGUUCUUUUGUCUGGGAGCAAAGGUUGUAUGUUAAUAGCAUACAAAGAUGAGAGUACCAGAAGAAUAAGCACCGGCUAACUACGUGCCAGCAGCCGCGGUAAUACGUAGGGUGCGAGCGUUAAUCGGAAUAACUGGGCGUAAAGGGUGCGUAGGCGGUUAUGUAAGUUAGAUGUGAAAUACCUGGGCUUAACCUAGGAACUGCAUUUAAGACUGCAUGUCUAGAGUUUGUCAGAGGGGGGUAGAAUUCCAAGUGUAGCAGUGAAAUGCGUAGAGAUUUGGAGGAAUACCGAUGGCGAAGGCAGCCCCCUGGGAUAGAACUGACGCUGAAGCACGAAAGCGUGGGUAGCAAACAGGAUUAGAAACCCGAGUAGUCC
rnacentral:rRNA from 1 species